rnacentral:lncRNA from 1 species
CUCCAGCUGGCUGCCGACAAUUGCCGCAGCAAAUGAUGUUCGUGGCCGCGCUGCCUCUGUAAUCCCCCAUGGACUUCUCUCAAGAUCAAGUCUGAUAAGGACUCAACUGAUCCGGAUGACCCGAUUAAAGAAUUUUUGAACCCCAAUGUUGCUUACGCUCUUGGGCCGAGAAUCAGUACAUGGGACGAAGACCAAAAGGUAUGGCUUCAGAAAAAAUCCUGAAUUUCCAAAUUAUGUUAAUGGUAAACCUCGGAUCUUACUUGUUACUGGCUUUGAAAUACCACUGGAAAACCCAAAAACUCAAUAACGCCAGAAUACCAUUAGCACAAAAUUUCAUUUUCUGAGAUAUUCACUUUCUUCAGAACAUCAAUUAGGAGUCUAAAGAUGGAUUAUAUUUAUUCCGUCUCCAAAUUCCAAUCCAAUUUCUCCAAUUUUGAACAGUUAUUCCGACUUCACCAUUUGCCCCACUGUUCAAGGAUAAUUACCCUCACCUUUUUGUUCGGUUUCAAAAAUUGGAUUGGAAAUUGGUGACUGCAAUGGCAGAUGGUUGGGUGGUGGAAAUUUGAUUUCGCCAUUGAUGAAGAAGCCAUGGUUUUUACUGCUGAUAAUGAGAUGGUUGGGUGGGUAGGUUAUUUUUGUCUUUGACAAUUGACAUUAUAGGUGGUGUCGACGGUGGUAGUGGUGGUGCUGGCGGUGGGUGGCCACCAAACAAGGACUAAGCCUUAAAAAAAAACUCUCUUAUCUAUCUUCCCCAAAAACCCCAUCGCCUGUCGAAAGCCCUUACUGGUUCACACACAGCCACCGCCAUCCUCAACCUCUUCAAAACCCCACCUCCAAUAUUUAUAUGUACAGUAACACGUUUAUACAGAAAGCAUAGAAAAACCCAAAUCCGAGUUCUUGUAGAAGAAAGAUGAAUUCUUGUUCCUCAAAUUGAUUAACCAAAACAAUGGGGGGCAAAAUGAGGGUUUAAGUUUGCGUUUCUCUCUCAAGACAUUUUAUAGGUUUGUAUUAUCUUUUUGAAGUAUGAAUUUGUUCAUGUUUUGACUGAAUAAUUUUGCUGCAAUGUUGUAAGCAUCAUUGUAAUUCUGCUUGUCUAAAAUCUGCCCAAAGAGUUUUCUGUUUUGUUUUGCUAUCAAUGUCUCAUUUUGCAUAUAUUUAUUAAGCGUUAUAUCUUUAUUAUGUAUAAACUCAUCUUUCAUUCUGUUCUUAUGCAUAUUAUAUAAAAAAAGAAGGAAAAAAGUUAUGGAAUGAGACGGUGUAUAUCAUUUAGUUUCUGUUGGCAACUUAAAAUGAAAGUAAAAGGAUUUGCACUAAAGAAGUUUGGCUUCACCAGUUGUGUGUACGUAAUUGUAAAAUAUAUAUUGUUAUACUAAAGUAGAUAGGUUUUGACAGAAACUUGCACUUAAAGUUAAGUCAGUUAAGUUGAAUUAUUCUUGUAUUUGUAUUAACAGCCCCACAGUCAUUCUUAUGGAAAUAAUGAAGUUUGAAAACUUGUGUGUUAGUAUUAAAUGCUUAUUGCCAGCCAAUUUUUAGGAAAGGGUUGAAUGUUUAACUUUUGAACAUUGUGAGAUAAAUAUAUUCUCUUGCACGCCUUGUUAAAAAAAACGCUUGAAUUUGAGACUAUCUUUGAAUUUUUUCAAUUCAGAUACAAUUUAUGUUGCAAGUAAGGUAAAUUUUGCCCUUUGUCAUUUUUGAUGUGGUUUAUUUGGUUCAAAAUUUUGGGUUUGGACAAUAGACUUGUGCUUUUAGUUUCAGCUACCAUGCAUUUCCACCUAUCAGUCUCUGGUAUUAUCCUACAAUAAAAUACUAACUGAUUAUAUUGGGUUAUUAAUUUUUAUUAUUUUGUAUACUCAGAUUGCUGCCAACUUGCAAAAGCAACCUUUUUCCAAAGUCUCUGCCAACCUUUUCAACUCAUUUCCGCUUAAAUUCCACUGGUGCGAGCUGCAUAGUGGCUUUAUCAGAUGGCAUUGAGCAAAGAAACGGCAAGUUUGACUUUGAGCGUUUAUUCAAUAAAUGCACUAAAACUGGUAUUGCCAAAUGCUUGCACGCCCUUCUCAUCGUGUCAGGGAUGGUCCAGAGUAUUUUCAAUGCCACCAAGCUUGUUAAUAUCUAUGCCUAUCUUGGUGAUGUUUUGUUGUCUCGAGAAACUUUUGAUCAAAUACCGAGAAAAGAUACCUAUACUUGGAAUUCGAUGUUAUCAUCUUAUGUCCGGAACGGCUGUUACCGUGAAGCGGUGAAUUGUGUGAAUGAAAUGUUAUUGACCUCUAAUGUUCAGCCUGACUUUUAUACUUUCCCUCCUGUGCUGAAAGCUUGUCGUACAAUACAUGAUGGAACGAGACUUCAUUGCUGGGUUGUCAAAAUGGGUUUUCAAUGGGAUGUGUUUGUGGCUGCUUCUUUGGUGCAUAUGUACUGCCGUUUUGGCUCUUUUGAUAUUGCACUUAAACUUUUUAAGGACAUGCCAACUCGUGAUAUGGGUUGUUGGAAUGCUGUGAUUUCUGGGUUUUGUCAAAAUGGGAAUGCUAAUGAGGCUUUGAAUGUCGUGGAUGACAUGAGAUUGGAGGGUGUAGAUAUGGAUGCGGUGACUAUUUCCAGUAUUCUUCCAAUUUGUGCACAAAAGGAUGAUUUAUUACAUGGGAUGUUGAUCCAUUUGUAUGUCAUAAAACAUGGAUUAGAGUUUGAUGUGUUUGUUUCCAAUGCGUUUAUUAAUAUGUAUGCCAAAUUCGGUAAAUUGGAGUGUGCUCAGAGGAUCUUUGAUCAGAUGGUUGUUAGAGAUUUGGUGUCAUGGAAUUCAAUAAUUGCUGUAUAUGAGCAAAAUGAUUGCCCGCAUGAUGCGUUGAUGUUCUUUUACGAGAUGCUGGGAAAUAAGUUUCAGCCUGAUGUACUGACACUGGUCAGUUUGGCUUCCACUAUAGCUCAAACCAGGGACUCAUUGUCUGGCAAAUCCAUUCAUGGAUUCAGUAUUAGAAGAUGUUGGAUAAUGGAAGACACUAUAAUUGGUAAUGCUGUUGUUGAUAUGUAUGCUAAAAUAGGUGCUCUUGAUCCUGCGCGCAAGGUUUUUGAAGAACUUCCUUGCAAAGAUGUGAUCUCAUGGAAUACAAUGAUAACAGGUUAUGCUCAAAAUGGUCUCGCAGAUGCAGCCAUUGAAGUGUACCGCCUGAUGAAAGAUUGUGAGGACUUCACUCCUAACCAAGGGACAUGGGUUAGCAUUCUACCCGCUUAUGCUCAUAUUGGGGCCUUGAUUGACGGGAUGAGAAUUCAUGGGCAGGUGUUAAAGGUGGGUAUUGACACGGAUGUCUUCCUGGGUACUUGCCUCGUUGAUCUAUAUGGAAAAUGUGGAAGACUGGGUGAUGCAAUGUUUAUGUUCUAUGAGGUGCCAAGGGUCAGCCCUGUUCCUUGGAAUGUCAUAAUAUCAUGUCAUGGACUCCAUGGACAUGGUGAGAAUUGUAUGCAGCUUUUUAGAGAUAUGUUGGAUGAAGGGGUGAUGCCUGAUCAUGUGACCUUUUUGUCAUUAUUGAGUGCUUGUAGCCAUUCGGGUUUGGUUGAUCAGGGGAAGUGGUGUUUUGAUGUGAUGCAGCACAACUAUGGGAUGAAACCUACUUUGAAGCACUAUGGGUGCAUGGUGGACCUGUUUGGUAGGGCUGGUCAAUUGGAUGUGGCGUAUAAUUUCAUUGAGCGUAUGCCUAUGAGACCUGAUGCUUCUGUAUGGGGAGCUCUUCUUGGUGCUUGUAGAACCCAUGGAAAUGUUGAGCUGGGUAAAAAGGUCUCUGAUCGCUUGUUUGAAGUUGAUUCAGAAAAUGUUGGAUACUAUGUUUUGAUGUCAAAUCUUUAUGCAAAAUUUGGUAGAUGGGAGAGGGUGGAUGAAGUGAGAUCACUAGCUAGGGACAGAGGACUGAGGAAGACUCCUGGUUGGAGCUCGAUCGACCUACACAGUAGAAUAGAAGUGUUUUAUACAGGCAAUCGAACUCAUUCGCAGCAUGAAGAGAUAUACAAGGAGUUGGCAAUUUUAAAUGCCAAAAUGAAGAGCCUUGGUUAUACUCCAGAUUAUAACUUUGUAUUACAGGAUGUUGAGGAUGACGAAAAAGAGAAUAUCCUCACAAGUCACAGUGAGAGGUUGGCUAUUAUGUACGGAAUUCUGAAUACUCCUCCUAGAACUCCCAUUCGAAUAUAUAAGAAUUUGCGAGUAUGCGGUGAUUGCCACAAUGUGACAAAAUUCAUUUCAAAGAUUAUGGAGAGAGAGAUCAUUGUCCGAGAUUCUAACCGCUUUCAUCAUUUCAAAGAUGGAAUUUGCUCCUGUGGGGAUUAUUGGUGACUCAUAGUCUGCCAUUUCUUGAUUGAGAAAAAGUGAUGAUGUCAUUUCCUUCAGGUGCUGAGGUAAUGAAAUCAAUUCUGAAUUGUAGUUUUGUUUUCCUUAUGAGUCAUACCUCUCUCCAUGCUUUUUGGUUAUGUCUAAACGUGUGUUCUUAAUACGACGCGUUUCUUUAAAAUACUUUAGUUUUAAUGACUUCAUAUAUUCCCAGGAAAUUCCUAUUUCUAGUUAUUAAAUAAUAUUCAAUUCUUAUAUUUCUUGAUCUCAUUGUUCUUGAACUUUUAUGGUGAUUAUCUUAACCUUUUUCUUUUACAUGUAUGAUAAUUUGGCCCCAAGUUCUACAUAACUAACCAAGUUGAUCCAGUUAUUCUAAAUGUGGAUAAUACAUGAGAAUUCAAUCUGCAAGACUUUUUAUGCAAACAAUGCACAUUUCAUUAUGUCGUUAACAUAUUAUUCUCUCAGAGAUUGAAUAUUCUGGCCCUUCAAAAGGUUUUGCUUUUUCUUUUUUUUCGUAAAUUUAUUUUCUCCUCCAAACUUAAUAUUCUUUUCAACUUUUGAAUACAUUCAUUACUAUUUUCUUUAAAAAAAAUUUAUUGUUUUUUAAAUUGGGGUAAUAAUCUUCCUGCUCUUUUGGCUUCUUCGACUCGUCUUCCUCUCUUCAUGGGGCAAUCAGAAAAGGAGUCUUUUUUCUCGUAGUGCCUUCCAUUCCACUAUUCUGAUUGAGAAAAAUUCUUUUCCAAACGACCAUAAUGAGAUUAAAAACCAUAUUGUCGAAUAUUACACUGAUUUAAGAGUCAGUUUAUCAAAAAGCCUAUAAAUUCUUGGCUGUUUGUGGGUAAUUUGUUCUUGUUUUGCUUUGCAUUUAAGACUUUGACUUGUUUGUCCUUUUGAGUUCUGAUCUGCAAUAUUUAGAAGGAUUUAUAUACCAAGCUUUAUCUUCUGCAAUAUUUAGUUUUCAUUGCGGUUAGAAUAUCAACUCUUAUCUUAAUUUCGUUUAUAUCUCUAAACUAAAUUUGCUGCUUAUGUUUGGGUGAGGUGUUUAGUGGCUUUUGUAAAACUAAAAAGUCUCAUGUAUCAUAAUAUACUUCAAAUGAUUAGAGCUGUCAUGAUCUGGAUGUUUGUAUCCAAUUAUCUAUAUGUUCUAUUAUUAUUGUUACCUGACUUUUUCGUCUCAUUUUCAUUGGAACUAGAUUAGAUUUUCGGUUUCGCUUAGACUGAAUAUGCAAGCUGAAAAAUGUUUCAGGACAGAUGUAAUAAGCACCAUUCUUAUGGUGCUCAGUUGGCAAAGUCGAGUAAUUGCACGGAGCCUGAAAUUGGUAUUCAAUGGGAUUAGACAGUUGGGACUUUGUCCACUUGAGACGAAAACGAAGAUAAAGAGGAGUUGUGGCUCUAACUCAACACCAUCAAUCAAUCCUGCUUCAUUACUAAACCAAAGUUGUUCUUCACCAAGCCACAGUAAACUCUCCCUCCCUCUCUCUCGCUUCAAUGUUUCUUCCUCGAAUUAUCAUUUUCUUUGUUCCUUUACUGAUGCUCUUUCUUUUCAGGUUUGUCUUGUACGAAUGAUGAAGUACAUGAUGAAGGUUUGGCUACGUGGACCUUUUUUCCACUGAGGUAAACAAGUUGGCUCCUACUAAUGAAUUAUCUCGUGUAGGGAAGUGUAUAAUUAUCGUACAUUUCGAAAUUGAGAACUUAUAUAGUUCAAUUUGAAGUAUAUAUUUCCAAAUGUACAAUUAAAUUAUUUUGAAGUAAGUUCAAACAAUGUCUGCUCCGUUUGACUUGAAACGGAGAUAAUUAGCUCCUGUUUGAUCCCCAUUAAAUUAAAUUAC